rnacentral:piRNA from 1 species
UCCCAGAGAUGUGACACAAUUGACAAGGU